rnacentral:rRNA from 1 species
GACGAACGCUGGCGGCGUGCUUAACACAUGCAAGUCGAACGGAAAGGCCCUGCUUUUGUGGGGUGCUCGAGUGGCGAACGGGUGAGUAACACGUGAGUAGCCUGCCCUUGACUUUGGGAUAACUUCAGGAAACUGGGGCUAAUACCGGAUAGGAGCUCCUGCUGCAUGGUGGGGGUUAGAAAGUUUCGGCGGUUGGGGAUGGACUCGCGGCUUAUCAGCUUGUUGGUGGGGUAGUGGCUUACCAAGGCUUUGACGGGUAGCCGGCCUGAGAGGGUGACCGGCCACAUUGGGACUGAGAUACGGCCCAGACUCCUACGGUCGGCAGCAGUGGGGAAUAUUGCCCAAUGGGCGGAAGCCUGAUGCAGCCACGCCGCGUUCGGGAUGACGGCCUUCGGGUUGUAAACCGCUUUCGCCUGUGCCGAAGCGUGAGUGACGGUAAUGGGUAAAGAAGCACCGGCUAACUACGUG